UUUUUAAAAAAUACAUGAAUGAAUAAGCAAGUGAACCAACAAAGAAAACCCUUCACAGCUGUCCUCUGACAUUUUUCUAACGACAUCUGCCGACAUUCAAAAGGUGUAUAUUAGGGCCGUUAAUGAGGGUUGUUCUAAAUCAUUAUUUUUUGGCACACGUCCUGUGCUCUCCUGCCAGGCGGGAGCUUACACCCCUCCUCUGCCCGGACGCCUCCCUUGAUCUUCACACCCCGUGUGGGUUUGCGUCCCCGCCGCGUGGCAGCUCUGAGUGUGGGGCUCGGCCGUCGGGCCGGGCCCGGUCCCGUGUGCACAGCCCACAGCCUCACCCGGGCGCGGGAUCAAGGCCACGAACCCGCCUGUUUGCAGGUGUGAGUGGGUGCCUGCUGCCUUCAAUCAACUACUCUUUAGUCAGAUGGUCUGCAGGGCACUGAGCUGAGCCCCCGGCCUCCAAGUGCUUACUUAAAUCGAUUGGCAUUCAGUGAAAUGGAAAAGCUGCUUCCUCAGGCGCACUGGCCCCACGUACCCCCCCUCCACACCCCCCCCUUCCCCCGGCUCAUGAGUACCCACCAAAGUGUAGCCAUCACGCAGGGUGGGGUGUGCAGGGGGCGUGAUGGAGGAAGACGGCAGAAUCCACAGAGGGGGCAAAUGAAUGCUCGGACUCAACCGUGUCCCCCAGAGCGCCCCCCACCCCCGGGGACUGUAUUUGGAGGUGGGGCCUCUACACCGGCAAUUAAGGUGGAACGAGGUCCUCAGGGAGGGCCCUGAUCCCACAGGAAGGGGAGGAGACGCAGUGUCCCGCGCGGGAAGACGCCGAGAGAAGGUGGCCGGCUGUGAGCCAAGGAGGGAGCCUCCCCAGGAGGGGGACCCCCGCCCUGUCCACGCUCUGACCUCGGCCUUCUGGCCUCCGGAACCCUGAGAGAAUCACUGUCUGCUGUUUGAGCCCCCAGUCGGCGGUUUCCGUGUGGAUGUGUGCGGUUUUCCGUUCUCUUGGGAGCACCAAGGAGUGCUGUCACCAGAGUUGGCCAGAGGUGUUCUGGGGAUGAUCAAGGAAUGAGACGAGACACCUGCUCCUAGGAUGUUAUCUCUACCCUCAACGUGGGGCUUGAACUCACAGCCCAAGAUCAAGAGUCACAUGCUCCGCCAACCAAGCCCCCCCAGGUGCCCCCGAGGUUCUACUUCUAAGACGAUGGUCGGGACUAAAUGGGGUUAACAGAGGGAAACCGCUCAGACCAGCACCUACUAUAUCCUGAACGCCCAGUAAGUUUUAGCUGCUGUGGCCGUAAAUCCCAUAUUAAUUAAAAUCAUUAAACGAUUGCUGUUGUUAUUAAAAUACCAGUACUAUUCUCAUAACUAGAGUGAUUUCCCGCCUUCAGAAAAGGAUCGGCAGUUUGAGAAGGAGACCGUAAUUCCUCACCGACACGGCGAUAAACAGCACUUUGAAUGUACCUACUUUGAUUAGAGAACUUGGCAGGAUUCCAAGGCUGCCAUAAUACAAACUGUUCUCCCGAGUUAAGACUGCCAGUUCAUUCUGAUCUAGGAGAAAAGAAACAAGACAGAACAAAAUGGAACUGAGGGCUGUUUCCGUGGACAAAACUGUAACAAAUGUAACAAGUUGUGAAAAAACAAUUACGCCCGAUUCCAUCAUAUAGACCAGGGGUCAGCAAACUUCUUUUGUAAAAGGCCAGAUGGCAAAUGUUUUCUGCUUUGCUGGUCAGGUGCUUUGUUACAAGUAUUCAGCUCUGUGACAGCAGCUACAGACCGGUUGUAAAUGAACAGACGUGAUUGCGUUC